UACAGAGGUCUCAAGCGUUGUUCGGAUUCAUUGGGCGUAAAGGGUGCGUAGGCGGCGCGGUAAGUCGGGUGUGAAAUCUCGGGGCUUAACUCCGAAACUGCAUUCGAUACUGCCGUGCUUGAGGACUGGAGAGGAGACUGGAAUUUACGGUGUAGCGGUGAAAUUCGUAGAUAUCGGGAGGAACACCAGUGGCGAAGGCGGCGAUCUGGGCAGAUACUGACGCUGAGGUGCGAAAGCGUGGGGAGCAAACAGG
rnacentral:rRNA from 1 species